AGUAAAUAGAUACCCGGGUAGUCCACGCCGUAAACGAUGUCGACUUGGAGGUUGUGCCCUUGAGGCGUGGCUUCCGGAGCUAAACGCGUUAAAGUCGACCGCCUGGGGAGUACGGCCGCAAGGUUAAAACUCAAAUGAAUUGACGGGGCCCGCACAAGCGGUGGAGCAUGUGGUUUAAUUCGACGCAACGCGAAGAACCUUACCUACUCUUGACAUCCAGAGAACUUAGCAGAGAUGCUUUGGUGCCUUCGGGAACUCUGAGACAGGUGCUGCAUGGCUGUCGUCAGCUCGUGUUGUGAAAUGUUGGGUUAAGUCCCGCAACGAGCGCAACCCUUAUCCUUUGUUGCCAGCGGUUAGGCCGGGAACUCAAAGGAGACUGCCAGUGAUAAACUGGAGGAAGGUGGGGAUGACGUCAAGCCAUCAUGGCCCUUACGAGUAGGGCUACACACGUGCUACAAUGGCGCAUACAAAGAGAAGCGACCUCGCGAGAGCAAGCGGACCUCAUAAAGUGCGUCGUAGUCCGGAUUGGAGU
rnacentral:rRNA from 1 species